rnacentral:ncRNA from 1 species
UACGUUGGUUUUUGUUCAUAGAGCAGACGAAGAGGGAAUGCGAUAGGCAGGCGACGUUAAGGCGUCAAAUUCCGAAGCGCAGCCGCCCCCGCGACCGUGACCAGAAAGCUUCUGCGUGCCACUGUCUUUUUUUUGAAAAGAUGGGAAGGUGCAGAGGUGUAAAGGCCAAAGCCUUUAUUCUGCAAGCCGGGAGACCUGCCAACACA